ACGGAAGGCAGCAGUGAGGAAUAUUGGUCAAUGGGCGGAAGCCUGAACCAGCCAAGUCGCGUGAAGGAUGAAGGUAUUAUGUAUUGUAAACUUCUUUAGACGCAGAGAAAUAAGCGGGACGCGUCCCGCGAUGCUAGUAUGCGUAGAAUAAGGAUCGGCUAACUCCGUGCCAGCAGCCGCGGUAAUACGGAGGAUCCGAGCGUUAUCCGGAUUUAUUGGGUUUAAAGGGUGCGCAGGCGGCUUUCUAAGUCAGUGGUUAAAUAGCGGUGCUCAACGCCGUCCCGCCAUUGAUACUGGAGAGCUUGAUUGCGGUCGAGGUUUGCGGAAUUCGUCGUGUAGCGGUGAAAUGCAUAGAUAUGACGAAGAACACCGAUUGCGUAGGCAGCAGACCAGGCCGUAAAUGACGCUCAUGCACGAAAGUGCGGGGAUCGAACAGGAUUAGAUACCCUGGUA
rnacentral:rRNA from 1 species